UUAUGGUUAAAACUGCUAUUGUUCCA
rnacentral:piRNA from 1 species